rnacentral:lncRNA from 1 species
UAUCCACCCAUGAUGCACCAAACUCUACCUCCUUCCCCAUCACAUUUCUGUACAACACUUGCUCAUACUAUUUGGACGCAACCCCUUUUUCGCCCUCUACUUUUCAAUUCAACAUUCCUCUCAUCAUAGCUUCGUUGCUAGUACGACUAUCCACAAGUGUAAAAUAUAUCAAAGAAACAUGCACAAUAGUUCAUUGAAACAAAAACACACUCAACAUCACACCAGAAACCAAUUCGUUGUGUUGGUGGUCAUCAUUUUCCAAAUCCUCUGUGCCUCGUCGUCAUGCUUUCAUAUGAGAUAAAGCUGUAAGUGAAUGUGUUGCAGUAUAAAAAAAGUCAAUUCAACUAUCACACCAACCCAAUCACAACACAUUUAUAUCAGUCCAUCAUCCAUAACGUUUACUCAAUUACAUCUAUUGACAACCAACAUUCGUGGUCCAGAAGCUGCCUUUAGAAAUCGGUGUCUCCAACUGUUAUGAACUCCAACUGGGCAACCAGACCAACAUUGUAAACAAAAAAUUGUUAACCUCAUCUUUGUAUUCAUUUCAUCAAUUAUGUUGAAGCAUACAUAAAAUCGUAAUGUUAAUGAGUUACGUACUUCUUCUCUUUUUCCUUCAACUUAUUGAAGUGAUAGAAAUAUUGUAUCACCUUAACCACACAUUCUGCAUCCAUGGCUUUAAUUACGCUCUGUAAUGUUAAUGAAUUACUCUUUGCACAACAUCCUCCUUGGGCUGACCAGCGUGGAUUUUUUGGCACUUUGUGAUGUCAAAUAUCAAAAGGGUAUGGCGAACCAUUUUAAUCUUCUUUUUCUACCCCAUUUUGGUUCACACAGACUUUAACGUUGCCCUUGUGCACGAGACCUUCCUCUUAGUUCCCACUGUUGGCCUUCAGAUGUGUAUAUCACCACCUUACCGUCAUCAUCCAAACCCUUGACAUCUUUACACACCUUCGUUGUCGAUUCUCCGACCAAACCAACCAUCUUCACGUGGACAUCUAAGAGACUAAUGACACACCCUGACCCAAAAUGUCCACUAGGACUCCGAAUCAGGCUAUGCUGGCCGACACCUGGAAGGUGACGAAGCCAUAAAGUGCCUAAAUACAGAGUGCGCUAGUGAGCAGAAAUGAACCCAUCUCACACGUGACGUUAGAGCAUAAGUAAAGUACAGUAGAGUGGGUAAAUAUCUUACCCUCAGAAGUAGCCACAUAUACUGAGACUCACCAAGAAUCCUCGUCAAUACGAUUGCUCAGCAGUUAAAGCCUGGAGGGGAAAAAAGCAGAAAACUUAGAGUGGGCAAAAACAAAGCUUUUGAAAACACAUUUCUCUUUCUAAACAUAAUAAUCCCUCACCGUAAAACCCGUAUAAUUUUCCCAUAAAAUAGCAAUACGCAAGUAUAUAGAAAUCAUGCUCGAGAGCAGUGAAAACCAAGUAUAUGCCAUGUUGAGUAUCUUAGUAAUAAAAUAUGUAAGCCAGGUGAAACAAUUCAAUGUAAAAUGAUAUGUUAGCCGGAGUCACCUAAUGUGACCUGUACAACUUAACCUAUAGCUCAGCACUCUAAUCCUGCACACAAGUCGGAACCACCUAAGGUGGUUUGUAUGACAGGGCUGGGUACAAAUAAGUAUGCUCAAGUGCUACGAUCACGUGAAGGUUGUGCGAUAAAUCGCAGGUCAACUAUGAGUCAGAACCAUCUAUUGUGGUCUGUACGACAGGGUUGUGCACCAAACUUGGAUCCAAGGUGAGCAUGUGGUGCAAGAGGUGAACAUCACAUGAAGGAUUGUGCCCUGGCCACGGGUGGGAGCACUAGCACCGGGGUGCAGGAUAAUGAGCUCUAAAUACAUCUCAUCACAAUCAUAUACACUGCAAUCUCUAUCAUCAAUAUCUACUCACAUGGAACUUACUUGAGCGUCCACAACAUCAAAUACUAACAUACAUAACAACUAAUGCAGAUUCUAAAAUAUAAAACAAUUGACAUGGCAUUUAAAAUGCAAAAUCAUUUAAAUCAAUUUUCUAGGAAAAACGUAAAGCAUAUAUACAUAUAUUGAAAACCAAAAGCCCACUCACUUAGAUUCCGCGCUAGAACUCCCUAGCACACACAUCCAGGCGUCACAAACAAUUGGCGCCUAGAACAAUUAUCAAAUAAAGUCUCAGAAAUCUUAUUGAUAGAAUAUGUAACUUACAUAAAACACAUCCCUACGUAAUUCGAUCUGAAAGAUCCGCAUUACGGAUUUGUAGUCCCUUACUUCCAAAGAUCCACAUUAUGCUUAUAGAACAACAUUCUAAAGUUUCAUUACAAUCCAACGGUUGGAUCUCUGCCAAUUACAAAUUCAAGUGGCGAUUAACGUUUUAUUUUAUCAACUUACAAAUCUGAUUCAGGAAGAUCCGUAAGUUUCAAUGGUCCUCAAAUAUUACGUACUAUAACAUAUUAAAGUCUAGUGACGAUCCAACGGUCGAAUCGUCAAUUCAUAUUUUUACCAAGUAAUGUAGCUUAAUCAAACUAGGUUCACAAUAAUCAAAUCACAUCAUACAGAUAUCAAAUCUAAGAUCAAGAUAUUUAUUUAACAUAAAAUAGCAUUGGCAGUCCACUAGCCAUGAGCCGCCGUUGGUGGCGGUCGGCCAUCUCGACUCACUAGAAAAUUCAACUAUUUCUAAAAAUUACCAAAUUUUACAAGAAUGAAGAUCUCAAUGAGUGGAGCAACUUUCAUACCUGUGACUAAGGGCAAUUUGGCUAGGAAAAUCCUCAAUUUAGCUCAAACCGUACAAAACCCUAAACUUGGGUGUGUUCGAUUCGACCUCCAAACUCACUCCAACGCCUUAAACAUUGCUUAGGCUUUGUUCCUAGGGUUAAGGGGAGCCUAGUGGUGGUGGUAAUUUGCUGGGUUAACUUCAAAAUUGUCGGAUUUUGCCAUGGUACCCACAGAACCCACGAGUUUCGUUCUACUCGAAUGCAAGCUCAAACCCAAUAAAAUUUGGUUGGAAAUGGAAGAGGGGAAGAUAAGGAUUAGUUUUUAGGUGGUGGUGAGUGUUAGAUAGCCAGAAAACCGACGGAAAAAUGUCAGAAAGGCGAUCAUGUGGGUGGUGUGCCUGACAUGUUACAUGGGCCAACCCGUGUCCCCCCCCCCCCUUUUCUUCUCUCCUUUCCCCUCCUUUCUUCUAUUUCUAAUUGGUCACCUCAUUCCCUCCUUGGCCCAUCCGUUCCCCCAUCUCUCCUUUUCUCUCCUUAACUCUCUAUCCUAGCCACCCACUGAAGGAAAUUUUGUGAAAAACAUGUUCAUUUAAGCAACAUCUAUAGCAUGCAAUUAACAAUUAAAAGGCGGAAUCAUGCUUGUAUGCACUUAAAAACAAAAACAUUAACCAUGAAAUUCAAAGCCUAGUAGAUUGGUGAACCUUGACUCAACUUAAAACAACAUUUGUUAGUUGAGAAAUUAUACCUUUGUAGAUUCCUAUUUGCAUAAGCAAAGGCUAAUCACCCAAAGAGAGGGCCUUCAUUCAUUGCAUCUUAGAUCUAUGGAUUUGGAUGGAUGAAAUGGUUCUCCAAGUUCCCAAAAUUGAGA